rnacentral:lncRNA from 1 species
AGAAGGUGACCUAGUUGUUCAUUUUAAUACAUGCAGCAGCUUGAUGUUGUUGUGGUAUUGGAUUUGGGAUUGUUUGAGAUUAAUUUGUUGAGUUUUAUAAUAAGAUUAGUAUAAUAAAAUUGGACUUCACAGUUGAAGAGCAUUGUAAAUUGGUUAAUUGUAAAGAUUGUCUCGGAUUCUUGGAAUGUAGUUGAUAUCUUGUGGUGGUCCUUAUUUUGCAAGCAUG